rnacentral:lncRNA from 1 species
GAUCAGGCCGAACCCAGAGCGUGCAUGCUCCCUUCGUGUCCCUUGUCCUAAGUUAAUGAGUAAACUUUGGUUAGGACGUUUGGCUUGUGAUAUUUCGGUGGCGGACACCCAACGUCUUAUCCUUCACUUAAACUUAAUCCUGCAGACCCAGCACCGGGGCAGGUUAGCCUUUUCUUCUCCAAGCUCACCCGCCCUCGCCCCUAUAAACUACCAAUGGACAUCCUCUGUGUUGGUCACUGGGAAGCACUGAAGGCUCGAAGGUGAUCUUUGAAAUAGCAUGGAGGAUUGCAACGCGUGGACUGCACAGCCUCUCUCUUCUGACGACAUGCCCAGCUGUAUCACAGAGGAGAGUGUUAAGUCAGAACGGCGAUCUCCAUGACGACGGAGGGGAGCGGCUACCAAAAUGACCUUCCAAAGGACGGCCACCUCUGAAUGCUGUGAUACAGUGGUAACAUGGGAAAAUAAAGUCUAGCUAUUAGGAAUGAACUCUGUGAGGAGAAAGGAACCUUUAUUUAGGAAUUGUGUGAGAGAAAAGAGAGGUACAAGGAAAAUACAUUUCGAAGAUCUAACGACCACCACUUAUCUUAUCUCAAGACAAUAUUCAACUCUGUCAAAAUCCUAACAGUAAAGGAAAAAGGAAAAAACCAACCAAACAAACCUAAGUUUCUGCCUGGGGAGGAGAGAGGUUGAGUGGUUUCUCCCAUUAAUAUCCAGGAUUGGAGCUCACGAUGUUGACGCCAACGUUUGUGCCCUUUCCCUUGAUUAGAAGUGUUUCCAGAUUUAAACCCUAGUUUUUAAGGACCAUUAAUGAUCCUGUCCAAAGAGGAAGCAAGAGGUUUCAGGUUCUUCCCAGAGCAGAAACGAACGGACAUGAGAAGGUUUGUGUGAGGUCAUCGGUCUCAUCGUGACUUUGACUUGGCCUUGAUCUUUAUUUAGCGUUUCAGUUUUAUGUUCUGCAACAAGUUUGGCCAUGUUGGAGGACCAUCCAAAGGUCAUUGAGCUGGCUGCUGGAGAUUGGGCGCUCACCCGGACGCCAGGGUCUAUUACUGUGCGGAUGGAAAUCCCCAGCUCACCUCGGCAUGAUGUUCCAGCCACUUUCCGAAAGUCACAGGCUUUAGAGGCUUUUUGCGCGCUACUCCGUAAGAGCCCAAGACUGUGGGGCAAGAGAGUGGAGCUCUUUGAGUCGUCCUAGAUCUGGGUCAUCUGGCUCUUCAGGAUACCUGUGGCACUUUCCCAUCAGAGUGUAAUUUGAAGGGGGAAAGACCAUUCCUAAAUAAACUGUGACACUCCUUAUUCUUUGAUCUGAGAACAAGUAUCCCAAUAUCUGAAAUAUCGCAGUGACUCUCACAAAACUUCUUUUCAAAUGCUACUUCAUCCACUGCGCUACUCAAGCCGUCAUCUGGAUUUGCACGGAUCUUGAAUUAUACAACAGAGUCCGUUGAUCAAUCUGUUUAAAUGUUCUUCCACCUAUUGUUUCUUGCCUAAUAGAUUUAUUUGU